CGUAUCCUUCGGACAGGUCAGUUUAGGUCUAUUUCUGUUCCCAGAAGUCUCGCAAUGUUGCGCCUCUUGGUUUAGAAACUCUUUGGUUCAGAUAUUUAUAUUCCUCCUGGGUGCUUCCGUAUCCGUCGGACAGGUCAGUUUAAUUAAACAGCAUAAUAAAUUCUACACUACUGAGGAUAAAAAACCAGAGUAAAAACUAAAUUGGCUGGUGAAAUGGAUCGAGGGGUGUGUGUGUGACGACCCGUUCCUGAACCCAGAGCUGAUGAGGGCCAACCCCUGGGUGGAGAAAGGCAAAUGUGUGAUCCUCUAACGGACGCACACACGGAUACACACACAACACUGAGACACACACACACACACAAAGUUAUCCCGUCCUAUUUAUUUGUACAUCCAUGUCUAUGGUUUUAGUUGAAAGUAGUCCCCUUCCUUCCUGUGAGCAGCAUGUCCUGCAUUGAAAGUAGUCCCCUUCCUUCCUAUGAGCAGAAUGUCCUGCAUUGAAAGUAGCUCCCUUCCUUUGUUAAAAGAACCAGAUUGAUUUUAGUUAACAACAAACUCACUUUUUAUUGGCUUUUUACCCCACUGUCAAUCAGAAUACACUGUUUUUAUUGGCUGUUUCUACUGUCAAUCAGAAUACAAAUGAUUUUAUUGGCUGUUUCUACUGUCAAUCAGAAUACAAACGUUUUUAUUGGCUGUUUCCACUGUCAAUCAAACAUAAUAAAGAGGUGGUUUG